CAAUAGCUACUUGCAUCAUUGUAGAUAUGAUGCAAGAUCGACUAUGUCGAAUAAAAUUCUAGGUAGAAUUAUGAUAAUGACAUUGUCUGCCUAUGUGUCUUGACCAAAUUACGUGCCAGCAGUCGCGGUAAUACGUAGAAGACUAGUGUUAUUCAUGUGUAAUCGGUUUAAAGGGUACCUAGACGGUAAAUCAAGCCUAUAAAAAAUAUAAAGGAAGGGACUAAUUUACUAGAGUUACUUAUGAGGGGGUAUUAAAGUACUACUGGUGUAGAGAUGAAAUUCUGUCAUACCAGCAAAACGACGGCACAGGUAUAGGCGAAAGCAUCCCCUUAUGUGAUAACUGACGUUGAGGGACGAAGGCUUUGUGUAGCGACCAGGAUUAGAUACCCCAGUAGUCAAAGCAGAAAAUGAUGAAUGUCAUAGAUUAGAUAUAUAAGUUUAUUCUAUAAAUGAAAGUGUAAGCAUUCCACCUCAAGAGUAAUUUGGCAACAUUGGAACUGAAAUCAUUAGACCGUUUCUGAAACCAGUAGUGAAGUAUGUUGUUUAAUUUGAUGGCCCGCAAAAAACCUUACCACAAUUUGAAUAUUUAUAUCUUUUAUUGUUUUUCUUCUGAUUUUUCUUCUGAUUUUACUUCUGAUUUUACUUCAAAUGAAGUAAAAGAAAGAAGUAAAAGAAAGAAGAAAAAUAAAAAGAGGCAAUAAGAU
rnacentral:rRNA from 1 species